UUCCUGAUGUUUAGUUGGAAUCUCAUUCCUUGUCAUUUGAAUCCAUUGGUUUAGGUUCUACCCUCCAGAGCAGGAGAAAACAAGCUUGUUGUAUCUCCCACGUGACAGCCCUUGAGAUAUUUGAAGAUGGCUAUCCUAUCUCCUCUCAAGUCUCCUCUUUUCCAGGCUAAACAUCCCCAGAUCCUUCAAC